CCUACGGGGGGCAGCAGUGGGGAAUAUUGGGCAAUGGACGCAAGUCUGACCCAGCAACGCCGCGUGAAGGAAGAAGGCUUUCGGGUGGUAAACUUCUGUUAAGGGGGAAGAGCAGAAGACGGGACCCCUUGAAUAAGCCACGGCUAACGACGGGCCAGCAGCCGCGGUAAUACGUAGGUGGCAAGCGUUGUCCGGAUUUACUGGGUGGAAAGGGCGUGCAGCCGGAGAGACAAGUCAGAUGGGAAAUCCGCAGGCUCAACCGGCGAACGGCAUUUGAAACUGUUUCCCUUGAGUAUCGGAGAGGUCAUCGGAAUUCCUUUUGUCGCGGUGAAAUGCGUAGAUAUUAGG
rnacentral:rRNA from 1 species